AGGGUUAUAGUUAACCAUAACAUUUAAUUUGCAAUUAAAAAGUAUUGAAAAAUUAACCUUA
rnacentral:tRNA from 1 species